CGCUAAUGCAGAACACAACGGUAAACACACUAACACUGUUUUCUAAGCAAUUGGAAAGGAUAAACUAGCGAAGUCUUUCGAAGAGUUUUUUUAGCCGGAAUAUUUGAAUGUUUGCUGCUUAUUCAUCAAUAGGAAAAAAGGGUUUAUAUUCUUUGGGGAUUCCGUGUUUACAAAACACUGAGUUUUUUCUGUAACUUAGGGUAAGAUGGAUUCUACAUUGCAUGUUUUUUAAGUAUUUUGAUUAUUGUAAGCAUUUUUUUACUAUUCGACUUGACUCUGUUAAGAAAAAUUUAUUAUUUAAACGGGAACAGAUUAAAAAAAUCGAUAGUUAACCAAUAUCCCUUGUCUUCCUACAAGACUUUGUUAAUUCCAAUUUUUUAUCAUUGUUAUUUUGGGCAUUAGUUUUUAAGCUAAGAACUUCUACCCGAUAUGUAAGUAUGAAAAAAAAAAAAGGUAGAAAAAUUAUAUCAUGAAACAUUAGCUAGCGAAAGAAAAUGCGCCAAUAAGUCUAUCCAAAUUCGUUUUCUCUUUGUCUUCAAAUGUUCAGGGGUAAAAACGAUCAUUUUAUUUACUUUGUAUUAUUUUAAUUAAAUCGUGGGGUGAUGAAACAAAUAUUGGUCUAACUAUUCUCUCAAUCAGUCGUUUACAGUAACCGAGAGGUAGAAGAAGAACAAAGAAUUCAUUUGAGUGUUUAACUAAGGGAAAAAGAAUUCCUUGUACAUUCAAUGGAUGAGAAUGUUAAGGAAUGCAAAAUUGCGAAAAAAUAUUAAAAUGAGCGAGAAAAUACGAAAUAAAACAGAGGCUAUAAUAAGAUAAAGAA